GGAUGCGAUCAUACCACACUAAUGCCAUCGGCAUCCCAUCAGAAACUCCGAAGUUAAGGUGGGCGGCUUGGCGAGAGGUCAGUACUAGGAUGGGUGAACCCCUGGGAAGUCCUCGUGUUGCAUACC
rnacentral:rRNA from 1 species